rnacentral:tRNA from 1 species
GGGCCGUUAGCUCAGCUGGUAGAGCAUCAGAUUUUUAAUCUGGGGGUCGCAGGUUCGAGCCCUGCACGGCUCACCA